rnacentral:lncRNA from 1 species
AACCCAAUUAAGCUGAGUUGGUCUCAGCAGACCUAAUUGAUUGUGAAUCAGGCCCAAUUCAUGCCCAAUUCAACUGACAGAAGGUCGAAUUGACCUUGGGCUAACUUCGACUCAGGCCCAAAUGAGCCACAUUGACCAAAUCAGAGGACCCAAUUGGCUAGAAAAGGUUGGACCCAAUUAUAAACGAGGCCCAAUCCUUUAAUUAAAAACCCAAUCAACCCAUGUGGAC